UAAUACCGCAUACGGCCUAAGGGAGAAAGCGGGGGAUCUUCGGACCUCGCGCUAUAGGGGCGGCCGAUGGCAGAUUAGCUAGUUGGUGGGGUAAAGGCCUACCAAGGCGACGAUCUGUAGCUGGUCUGAGAGGACGACCAGCCACACUGGGACUGAGACACGGCCCAGACUCCUACGGGAGGCAGCAGUGGGGAAUUUUGGACAAUGGGGGAAACCCUGAUCCAGCAAUGCCGCGUGUGUGAAGAAGGCCUUCGGGUUGUAAAGCACUUUUGUCCGGAAAGAAAACCUCUUGGAUAAUACCUGAGGGGGAUGACGGUACCGGAAGAAUAAGCACCGGCUAACUACGUGCCAGCAGCCGCGGUAACACGUAGGGUGCGAGCGUUAAUCGGAAUUACUGGGCGUAAAGCGUGCGCAGGCGGUUUGUUAAGACAGAUGUGAAAUCCCCGGGCUUAACCUGGGAACUGCAUUUGUACUGGCAAGCUAGAGUAGGC
rnacentral:rRNA from 1 species